GACGAACGCUGGCGGCGUGCUUAACACAUGCAAGUCGAACGGAAAGGCCCUGCUUUUGUGGGGUGCUCGAGUGGCGAACGGGUGAGUAACACGUGAGUAACCUGCCCUUGACUUUGGGAUAACUUCAGGAAACUGGGGCUAAUACCGGAUAGGAGCUCCUGCUGCAUGGUGGGGGUUGGAAAGUUUCGGCGGUUGGGGAUGGACUCGCGGCUUAUCAGCUUGUUUGUGGGGUAGUGGCUUACCAAGGCUUUGACGGGUAGCCGGCCUGAGAGGGUGACCGGCGACACUGGGACUGAGAUACGGCCCAGACUCCUACGGGAGGCAGCAGUGGGGAAUAUUGCACAAUGGGCGGAAGCCUGAUGCAGCAACGCCGCGUGCGGGAUGACGGCCUUCGGGUUGUAAACCGCUUUCGCCUGUGACGAAGCGUGAGUGACGGUAAUGGGUAAAGAAGCACCGGCUAACUACGUG
rnacentral:rRNA from 1 species